CUCAGUGAUUACUGACAAUUUACAAUAUUGAUAUUAAUAUUGACAGCUCCGAGGGUCUGCAGUUAGUGAUCAGGAGAUGGUACUAAUUAGACGACAGAAUAUAUAUAUUUUAAACUACAGUUUCAGAAUUUAAUUUGAUAUCAGAACAACCAAAAGAGAAAUCAAAUACUUUUUUUUUUUUUUUUUUUUUAAUACACUGCAAUAGCAAGAGAUGGAGAAGAAACUACAGAACGGCUGCACAUGCCGAGCUUGCAGGAAAGGAAGAUCACUUGCCUCUAGCUGUUGAAUGGCCUUAAGGUGUCACAAUGCCUGGGCCAAAUGCAAAACCUUCUCCAGCUGAGAUGAGUUUAAUUGAGGAUCGUCCUCCUGAACCCUCUUCAGAGAUUCUGAAAUUGUACGCUUCUAUACACAGGGAAUAUAAGCGUUAUUUAUAAACACUUGCACUAGAAUUGGAAGAAAGAUUCUGCAGGAAUACUGGGGACCAGUAGAAAUCGCAAGAUUAUGGUAAUUAUAUUAUUUAACAAAUUUAAUAUGGAAAAGCCAAAUGCGAAGUAAAUAACCAGAUUAAUGAUAAAACUGUAUUUACUCCAAUAACAAAAAACAUCAUCUAGUUGAAUUUCCAGUUGAAUUUUUAAUAAGGCUAAGGCCAAGGACAGUGAAAACAUUAAAACAUACUAAAUUCUAGAAUCAAUAAUUGACAAAAUUAGGGUUGCUGGAACAACUUUCCACUAAUAUCAUGGACUUUGAAUCACUACUGACUUUUAAUAUAUUCCAUUUUACAGACAAUAUAAGAGGGAUACCAAUUCUCAUGGUGAAAUUCUCCACCAUGCAUCACUUAAAUAGCUUAAAGUGAUGCACAGACCAUGUUCUGGCCCCUACAGAAGGAUGAGUUCAUCUUAAUUUGUGGUAGAUAAAUUAUACCUGACUUCAAGCAGAC
rnacentral:lncRNA from 1 species